UACGUAGGGGGCAAGCGUUGUCCGGAUUUAUUGGGCGUAAAGAGCGUGUAGGCGGCCUGACAGGUCUGCUGUGAAAACUCGAGGCUCAACCUCGAGAUGUCGGCGGAAACCGUCUGGCUAGAGUCCGGAAGAGGAGAGUGGAAUUCCUGGUGUAGCGGUGAAAUGCGCAGAUAUCAGGAAGAACACCUAUGGCGAAGGCAGCUCUCUGGGACGGUACUGACGCUGAGACGCGAAAGCUAGGGGAGCAAACAGG
rnacentral:rRNA from 1 species